CCCCUAGCGGCCCAAAUCUGGCUGUGGCCCCUUCUGCACAAUGGAGCUGAACAAGGCAAAGCAGGGACAAGGUUGAGAGCAGAUUCCAGGUUGUGCUGGGAGCUGAGUGCAGGAACACCCAAGGGCGGUUCGAUGGCAGGCAGCUUCACCCUGUGCCACUGCCAACCACCAGCAUUGCUUUCUCCUCACGGGAGGGCAGCAUGGCCACAGCAGUGGCACAAAACCGGCAUGCUGAGACCAGCCACAACUUCCUCUCUCAGUGUUGAAGAGGCAAAAACCCCUCGGGCUUGCAUGGGUGAACUGGAGGCAAUGGGUGAACUGCCACAGACUGUGGUCAUGAAGAUUUUUGGGGGACCUGUAGACACCUGUAAGGAGAAAAUCCAGUCUCACCUGCUAUCCCUAAGGAAGGUGUUGGCAGAGUUUCUAGACUGGAGAGUGAAGGCAGUUUCUAGACUGGAGAGUGAGCGAAGAGAGGCAUCAUCGGGACUACCUGGUACAGGGGGCCCCUUGGUGUUUUGACAGUCCAAAUGGAUAUUUAUUUUUCCCCAAAACCCUCCAGAAGAAACAUGCAGGAUCAUCCAUGAGGUAUCCUUGUGCCCUGCAAAGCCUCAAACCCGGUUGGAGUGGUUGGUGCAGCUCCUGGGCAGGUUUGACCACCUCCAUGUGCAGAUGCUUAUUAUCAACACUUUUAAUCGCUGCAUUUUCAUGGCAUUGCUCAUUUUCAUCCCAGACUUCUUCCUAAAGGGACAUUUGUUAAUAUAGAAUUAGCCCUCCCCAUGCUUUCCAGGGCCUGACGUGGUUUUGGACAGAAUAUAAACAGGAAUGGCAACAGGAAGGGGAAAGAAGGAAAAGCAUGGGGUGAAGUGCUUAAUUAUGCUGCAGUCGCUAAUUAGCCACAUCCUCAGCUCUGCCCCAGUGUCACAGCCCCCCUGGCUCCAGCCAGAGUGCUUUUGUUCUUUAGCUUGAAAGGGAAAGUUCAAGUCUGGGGUUACACAGGGGUUUUCUGUCUCAUCCAGGAGAUGAGCAAGGCUGAGCGGCUCCACAUCGAGGCCAAGUUUGAGUGGCUGUGCCACUGGAACAGAAGCAUGUGGUCCUGGGGCGGCUGGUGGAGCUGAACAACUCCUUCACAGCUGCCCAGGCCAAAAAAUCAUUGCAGGUGGCUGAGGGGAUCACACAGCUCCAUGGGCUCACGGGGCAGCUGGAAGGCAAGAGCUUGUCCCAGGUGAGAGCCCUCCUUACCCAAAAGCCCUUCCAAAGUGCUGCCUAUGAGAACUUGAACCAUCCUCCCCCUUUUUUCUCCCUUUUUAUUUUUAGGAUGUUGGGAGCAUAGUAAGCAGGUAUGUGGAAACUGGACACUUCCCCCCCUUGUCACCCCACCUGUGGAGAGGCACUGAAAUAUCCCUCGCGCAACAUCCAUCUCUGUCAUUUAUCUUCCCAGCUGUAGUGAAAUAAGGCUUCACUUCCCCUCUGGGCUCCUCAUGGAGCUUGAGAAGAGCCUGAGCUCCUGCUGCUGCCAGCGGAAUGCACUGCGAGAGGACCUGGAGGAGUUCAGAGCCCUUCCGGCGACACCUGACAGCGGCCGUCCCGCGAUGCAGGUCUUUCAGUGACACGAGGCGACAAGUCACUCCCUGCUGCGGCUUUCAGAGACUCGCGGGAGCAGCCACACCUCAGCGCAGCCCCGCCACCACCGGCUGCGAGCCUGCUCCAGGGUGGCUUUCCUGCGGCAUCGGUGGGCUGGGCUUCCAUCCACCAAGAAAAAAACAAACCCAGCUACAACGCUACAAAUUGCCCCAGGAGGUGAAGUGGUUGGAGGGCACGUGGGCACCGAGGCGCUGCGGCUCCAAGAGCUGUUUUAUUAGCCCCUUCUCCGCACCCCCCAAGAAAUCUUAAGUAAGGUAGAAACAGCGGUUUGCUUUUAUGUGCAUGCAUAGAGAUAGCAAAAAUGUACAAAAAUAACAAUUUCUGGGGAAAAUAUUUAUAUCUAGCACAGCCCUGGCUUCUCCUCCUGCUGCAGAAGCCUUGUGUAGGCUGAGAUUCCUCUUAAUAAAAGGACAGUAAGUGCCUGAAAUAAUUAAGAAUUAAUUAAGCAUGAAGUUGGUCUGGCGU